UCGGAAUAAGAUCUACUUUGCUCUCUUUUCGAUUUCUUAUACUUUAUCGUUGUUAUUCUUGUGUUCUGAUUGUUUGGCGUGUGGUAUUAGCAGAUAUCCGGGACCUCUGGGAAAUAUAGGGUUUUCCUAGUUUCCUUAUUUAAACGGAAAUCGACAGUGCGAAUUUCGGUUCCCACAUACGGCAUCCAUGUGAUGAAACCAAUAUCUCACAGCCACCUAGAAAGUUAAGGAUGACAAAAACUAGUUAACAGCAACAUCUAAACAGGCAUAUCCUACCCCCCAAAAGGCAUCCAUCAAGAAACAUAAGAGGAUAGUGAUUCAGUCACAGUGAUCACAAAGUAGUAGUACCGAAAUUCAAGCAUUUGGAGACAAAGAUGAAUCAAUUGACGAGGUAUGAUUUUCAUAACAGAAACGAAUGAGAAGGGGGACUAAACAAAUGCAUAAAUAAAAAUGAAUAGAGGUAUUAUUUUCUUAACAGAAACGAAUGAGAAGGGGGUCUGAACAACCAAAAGCAGUAACUAAAACCUUGGCUCUAAGAUGACCAGCUGGGCUGCUGAAUUCAGGAAAAACAUGUUGCACUCCAGCUCGGAUUUGUAGGGUUCAGUUUGCCUAAGUUUAUCACAAAGUGUCCCAACAGCAAGUAGAGCACCAUCCUUUUGGCGAUAGGGCUUCUGUUCUAGAGGUGCUUCACCAUAUCUAAUCCAGAGAAACAAAGUAAUUAUAUCAUGUCGCAAUUGUAUAAUUAGAUCCUUCUCUAUAUUUGUAGUUACAGCUUGAGGGUACCUAUUAAAUAUGCC
rnacentral:lncRNA from 1 species